UACGGAGGGGGCUAGCGUUGUUCGGAAUUACUGGGCGUAAAGCGCGCGUAGGCGGACCUGCAAGUCGGGGGUGAAAGCCCGAGGCUCAACCUCGGAACUGCCUUCGAUACUGCGGGUCUCGAGUCCGGGAGAGGUGAGUGGAAUUCCUAGUGUAGCGGUGAAAUGCGCAGAUAUCAGGAAGAACACCUAUGGCGAAGGCAGCUCUCUGGGACGGUACUGACGCUGAGACGCGAAAGCGUGGGGAGCGAACAGG
rnacentral:rRNA from 1 species